rnacentral:rRNA from 1 species
AGCGAACGCUGGUGGCAGGCCUAAAACAUGCAAGUCGAACGGAUCCUUCGGGAUUAGUGGCGGACGGGUGAGUAACACGUGGGAACGUGCCUUUUGGUUCGGAACAACUCAGGGAAACUUGAGCUAAUACCGAAUGUGCCCUUCGGGGAAAGAUUUAUCGCCAUUAGAGCGGCCCGCGUCUGAUUAGCUUGUUGGUGAGGUAAGGCUCACCAAGGCGACGAUCAGUAGCUGGUCUGAGAGGAUGAUCAGCCACACUGGGACUGAGACACGGCCCAGACUCCUACGGGAGGCAGCAGUUAGGAAUCUUGCGCAAUGGGGGAACCCUGACGCAGCCAUGCCGCGUGAAUGAUGAAGGUCUUAGGAUUGUAAAUCUUUCAGCGGGGACGAUAAUGACGGUACCCGCAGAGAAGCCCCGGCUAACUCGUGCCAGCAGCCGCGGUAAU